GCCGAAGUGGCGGAAUUGGCAGACGCGCUGGGUUCAGGGUCCAGUGGGGGCAACCCUGUCCGGGUUCAAAUCCCGGCUUCGGCACCA
rnacentral:tRNA from 1 species